rnacentral:rRNA from 1 species
UACGUAGGGUGCAAGCGUUGAUCGGAAUUACUGGGCGUAAAGCGUGCGCAGGCGGUGAUGUAAGACAGAUGUGAAAUCCCCGGGCUCAACCUGGGAACUGCAUUUGUGACUGCAUCGCUGGAGUACGGCAGAGGGGGAUGGAAUUCCGCGUGUAGCAGUGAAAUGCGUAGAUAUGCGGAGGAACACCGAUGGCGAAGGCAAUCCCCUGGGCCUGUACUGACGCUCAUGCACGAAAGCGUGGGGAGCAAACAGG